UAGGGUGAACAACCAUCCUGGUUUUCCUGGGACUGAGGGACUUCCUGGGAUGUGAGGAUUUUAGCGCUGAAAUCAGGACAGUC
rnacentral:miRNA from 1 species